rnacentral:lncRNA from 1 species
AUGUUCAGUAACCUAAAUAAUACAUGGCUCCCAGAAGGUACUCAUUUGAUGGUAAUUCUUUUCUUUUUUUUCCCAUUAAAGAAAACCCUGGAUGUUAUCAUGAAAAAUGAAAUUGAAGCAUUGAUUCCAAAACUGUCCGAAGAGAAAACAGAAGCCAAGAGACGAGGCUCUUCACCUCUCCAAAGUGAUUAUUUCCCUUUCACUGUGAAGUAUCCUGCCCGAAUUAAAGUAAUCAAAUUUAGAAAGGAAUAGAACUAGAACAUCUGGCAUCAGCAUCUUUCCCCCACUCCCACCCCAUCCAUGUAAUACACGCUCUUUGAGGAGAAUAUACACAAAGCAAAAGAAGAUGUCAACAAUCAUUCACGUACCACGAUUCAGAGAAAGCUGUCCUGUAAGACUUCUAUGUGCAUAGUUUACAAAAAUGAAAACAUAUUAUACAUAUUUCUUUAUAAUCUGCUUUUGUCUGUGAUACAAAUAUUUAGCUAUUGAAUCAUAUGAUGUCUGGGAUUUGAUUAGAAACAAUCCAGUGGGAGAUAACUUGGGGUAUAAAUGAAGCAGGAAGAACCUUGAGUUUAUAAUUGUUGUAGCUGGAUGCUGGGGUUCACAGAUCUCUAUAAUUGAGCACGUUUGAAAUUUUCUGUAGUAAAAAUGUCAUUAAACAGUAACCUGUUAACCUGUAACACAAUUCUUAAUGGCCACAUGUGUUAUGAUCUAACCAAUCUUCUGCUGUUGAGCAAUUAGAUCAUUUCUGAGUUUUCAUUUUGUAAACAAUACUGUGAUGGACAUCUUUUUAGCUAAAUCUGAUGGAUCUGAGAUGGACUGAAGGGAAAGAAAGAGGUCAUGAAUGAUUCCAAGGAUUUUUCUGAGUACUUGCAAGAACAAGUUUCCAUUAAUUAAGAAAGAAAAGAUUUAAAAUUAAGAGUAACUUGGGAUGGAAAAUCAAGAGUUUGAUUUUGACGGUCACAUUAAAUUUUGGAAGCCUAUCAGACAUGUAAGUGGAGAUGUCGAGUAGGUAGACAGUCCCAUUUAAGGACUGGAAUUCAGGGGAGGAGUGAGGGCUGGAAAUAUAUAUUUUAGAUCAUGGGCAUAUUGAUGUUGAAUAAAGGAGCGAAGAAAUAUUUGAUUUCUCCAGGUCCGUUAAUUUACGAUAAAAAAGAUGAGGAAUCAACAAAUAGGCACCGAAAUAGGUAGAAAGUAAAGGAACAGAAUGUGAUGUCCCAGAAACCACGUGAAGAAAGUAUUUCUAGAAGGAAGACACUGAGAGGUCUAAUAAAAUGUGAGCUGAAAAACUGCCUGUGAGAUUCGGCAACCUGAUGCCUUGUUUAUUAUCAUCUUUCCCAACUACAAGGGAAGCUCCAUGAGUUCCGGGACUUCGCUUCGGUUAUUUCUACAAUCCCAGUUCCUAGAACUGUUUUUGAAUAGUAUGCGUUCAAUAAAUAACUGUUGAAACAAAGAGGGACAAAUAAAUCAAAUCUGUGUGCAUUUGUAAUUAGUUAUAAUUCCUAAGAGUAGAAUUACUAAGUUCAAGCAAAAUUGUAGGUCUUUUGAUAUGAAGGGCUAUUACUAAUUUUUCAAUCCACCAAAAAAGCCUGAAUCAAUCCCACUGAAAGUCCAUCCACUAUUCCCUUGUUGUUAUCAGUGGGAAACCUCAAAAAAUAGCUUGAGCCAGCCUCUGGCAGACAGAUGAACCAAGCAGUCUAUUUUUAGUUCCCUCCCACUCUGCUCUCACUGCGCUAGAACCCACAUUUGAUUCCCCCUCAAGUGCCCAUCUCUAGGAUUGUGUCCAUUCGUUUCAUCCUCCCCACCCUAAGGACGUAGCUGAAUAUUAAGAUAGCAGUUCAACAUCAUGGUAAAGCAAGAGCUCAACCAAGAUGAAAGCGUCCAAGACCUAGAAGAGCAAAGCUGUAAUAGACUCACAGACACUGGAACUGCUGCUUGGGUCCGGGAGCCCUGCCUAAAAUCACAUCACUGCUUGGUCCACAACCUAAUAAAGCUGGCUCUGAGCUAGCCUUAUGGAAAAUGCCUGGGGAAUGGCCUAAUGCCCUGACCUGCCUGGGAGAGAGAUCCUGAGCCUAUCCUGCUUCCUCUGAAUCUCCAAAAGCUGUGUCCUCCCAUUCCCGGUGUUUAACUUACGCUAGCACAUGUGGACUUGCUUUAUCUUUCCUCUUCCUAGGCUGUUUCUCAAACAUACAGCGUAGUCUUACCUCUGUAUGGCUGCAAUGCCCUGCAUGGGAUGGGCCUCAAGCACAUCUCGGGAACUGUUGACAAACAACCGACAUCACACCCAACCAGGCUGAAGUCAGACCCAAGAUAGCACAUUUCUCCCAGCACCUGUUGCUCAUCCAUCCUACCCCCAAAAAAGAAUCAUACUCAAACCUGUAUUGGAUGACUCAAAGGUACUACCUCCAACCUGGUACCUUUUUUACCCGAGGGACUUGGGAAAAAGCAGGGAAUGCUUCGUGUAAGCUAGUGGAAAAGAGGAACUAAAACCAAAGAUGUGCAUAUGGGGAGGACAGUACGUGGAUGGGGUAGAAAUUAUGGGGGCUGAUGGCUCUUAGGUAAACCCUCAACCCAGACAGGAAGUUCAAAAGAGACACACUCCACACAUACACACACAGACUGGAUUCUGAAAACACAUGUGAGACAUCAUUAGAUAAAUUUAUUUACAGACGUUAACUCUCACAAUGAGCCAGUCCUGGGUUUUAUGACAAUAAAGCAGCUCAGGUUAAGAAUUAUCAAAACACGGCCUAUUUCAUAGGACCACCUAUGGAGCAUUUCCCCUCCCUCACCCUUGGCUCAUCUUCUCAUUAUGACACAUGCCAGAAAUAAUCUCCCAGCUACAGAUCACUUUGAAGUCGGAAACAUUCCUGGUUGAGAUUUUCCCAAAGUCAAGGGCUUAAAAAAAACCUUUUAAGGUCAGAAAAGAUCACCAGGGAACUGACAGGAUAAAGUGAAGCCCAGCAUGCCCAAAGGCAAAAAUCUUCAGGCUCUGUCAUUUCAACUUAGCUUGUGAAUAUAUUAAAAAUCCCGAGGUCAAAAGCCAUUUUACUUUCUCAUCACAUUACGGCUCUAGCCCCGGAGAAAGCAUACAAACUGCAUUAUUUUCAGAUCAUGACGCAGGGAUUCUCAGACUCAAGCGUGUGUGAGAACCACCUGGGGAGCUGCUUAAAUGUAGGUCAGAAGCCCCACCUCCAGAGAUUAACAGAGGCGAGCCCCCCCACCCCCAAUCUUUAUUUUAACGUGUUUCAGGUGGUCCACGGCUAAACUGUUAGCAGUCUU